rnacentral:rRNA from 1 species
UGGGGAAUAUUGCACAAUGGGCGCAAGCCUGAUGCAGCCAUGCCGCGUGUGUGAAGAAGGCCUUCGGGUUGUAAAGCACUUUCAGCGAGGAGGAAGGUGGUGGACUUAAUACGUUCAUCAAUUGACGUUACUCGCAGAAGAAGCACCGGCUAACUCCGUGCCAGCAGCCGCGGUAAUACGGAGGGUGCAAGCGUUAAUCGGAAUUACUGGGCGUAAAGCGCACGCAGGCGGUUUGUUAAGUCAGAUGUGAAAUCCCCGGGCUCAACCUGGGAACUGCAUUUGAAACUGGCAAGCUAGAGUCUCGUAGAGGGGGGUAGAAUUCCAGGUGUAGCGGUGAAAUGCGUAGAGAUCUGGAGGAAUACCGGUGGCGAAGGCGGCCCCCUGGACGAAGACUGACGCUCAGGUGCGAAAGCGUGGGGCAGCAAACAGGAUUAGAUACCCUGGUAGUCCACGCUGUAAACGAUGUCGAUUUGGAGGUUGUGCCCUUGAGGCGUGGCUUCCGGAGCUAACGCGUUAAAUCGACCGCCUGGGGAGUACGGCCGCAAGGUUAAAACUU